rnacentral:misc_RNA from 1 species
GAUGAAGAACGUAGCGAAAUGCGAUAAGUAAUGUGAAUUGCAGAAUUCAGUGAAUCAUCGAAUCUUUGAACGCACAUAGCGCCCGCCAGUAUUCUGGCGGGCAUGCCUGUUCGAGCGUCAUUUCAACCCUCAAGCCCCCGGGCUUGGUGUUGGGGAUCGGCGUGCCCUCGCGGCGCGCCGUCCCCUAAAUCUAGUGGCGGUCUCGCUGUAGCUUCCUCUGCGUAGUAGCAACACUCGCACUGGAUCGCAGCGCGGCCACGCCGUUAAACCCCCCACUUCUGAAAGUUUGACCUCGGAUCAGGUAGGAAUACCCGCUGAACUUAAGCAUAUCAAUGAGCGGAGGA